AGUGAACGCUGGCGGCGUGCCUAAUACAUGCAAGUCGAACGGAGAGGCGCACGGGUGAGUAAUGUAUAGCUAAUCUGCCCUACACUAGAGGACAACAGUUGGAAACGACUGCUAAUACUCUAUAGGGUAGGAUGAGGCUAUAUUGUAUCAGCUAGUUGGUGCGGGAAUGGCUCACCAAGGCUAUGACGCAUAACUGGUCUGAGAGGAUGAGCAGUCACACUGGAACUGAGACACGGUCCAGACGCCUACGUGAGUCAGCAGUAGGGAAUAUUGCUCAAUGGGUGAACCCUGAAGCAGCACCACCGCGUGAAGGAUGACACUGUUCGGAGCGUAAACUCCUUUUGUUAGGGAAGCGGUACCUAACGAAUAAGCACCGGCUAACUCCGUGCCAGCCGCCGCGGUAAUUC
rnacentral:rRNA from 1 species